UUGGGAAUCUUGGACAAUGGGGGAAACCCUGAUCCAGCCAUGCCGCGUGAGUGAUGAAGGCCUUCGGGUUGUAAAACUCUUUCGACGGGGACGAUAAUGACGGUACCCGUAGAAGAAGCUCCGGCUAACUUCGUGCCAGCAGCCGCGGUAAUACGAAGGGGGCUAGCGUUGUUCGGAAUUACUGGGCGUAAAGCGCGCGCAGGCGGCUAUCCAAGUCAGUGGUGAAAGCCCGGAGCUCAACUCCGGAACUGCCAUUGAAACUGUUUAGCUUGAGGACGAGAGAGGUGAGUGGAAUUCCCAGUGUAGAGGUGAAAUUCGUAGAUAUUGGGAAGAACACCAGUGGCGAAGGCGGCUCACUGGCUCGUAUCUGACGCUCAGGCGCGAUAGCGUGGGGAUCAAACA
rnacentral:rRNA from 1 species